rnacentral:rRNA from 1 species
GACGAACGCUGGCGGCGUGCUUAACACAUGCCAGUCGAACGGGCCUUGUCCCCUUUUUUUUUGGGGGUGGGGUUAGUGGCGAACGGGUGAGUAACACGUGAGUAACCUGCCCCUCACUUCUGGAUAACCGCUUGAAAGGGUGGCUAAUACGGGGUGUUCUGGCCUGCUCGCAUGGGUGGGUUUGGAAAGAUUCGACCGGUUUUGGUUGUUUUGGUGGGGGAUGGGCUCGCGGCCUAUCAGCUUGUUGGUGGGGUGAUGGUCUGCCAAGGCUUUGACGGGUAGCCGGCCUGAGAGGGUGGGCGGUCACACUGGGACUGAGACACGGCCCAGACUCCUACGGGAGGCAGCAGUGGGGAAUAUUGCACAAUGGGCGCAAGCCUGAUGCAGCGACGCCGCGUGAGGGAUGGAGGCCUUCGGGUUGUGAACCUCUUUCGCCAGUGAAGAAGGUCCUGCUCUUUGUGGUGGGGUUGACGGUAGCUGGGUUAAUGAAGCGCCGGCUAACUACGUG